UUUGUUGGGAAAAUAUUUUUUAUUAUUUUUUUUGUUGUUCAAGGUUACAUUAAAGACAGAUUAGAAAUCAGCAAAAUAAUAAUUAAGAAGCGUCAGGUUUAAGUGGUUAUAAAUAAUCACAUCAAUACACAAAAAGCAAAAAACUGAGUGCAGUAAUACAAUAUCGACUGUACUCUCGCAAUGUACACUGCUGCCCAUUUGGACAUGUUGAUUUUUAUAACCUUGUUUCUUUACAACCAUAAGAACACACAAACAUGUUGAAUACUAAAUCAGUGCUCAUCUUCGCCUGCGAAGGAGGAACAUCCAUCAUAUCAUUCUUUCUACACCCUCUAAGUCUUGAGUACAAAUUUUCUUUCUGAUGUUCAUUCUUGAGAUUAAUUGCUUUUUUCUUUUAUUUACACAAUUUAAACAAUGUCAUAGACCAUUUUUCACACACAUACAACAAAAUCAGUUGGUUCAUGUGCAGGGUAAAAAAAAAAGAGUUACACCUUGUCUAAAUACAUUUAGCUUAUUAUGGCAUAAUAGUAAACUGCCUAUACCGUCUAUCGGAUAUUACACAAAUAUAAAUAACACAGACAUUGACAGCAUUUUACAACUGCAUUGCUAGAACAAGACCUUGUUACAACAGAAAGAUAAAUAGCUGUCUGACAGUGAAGGGAGAGAACUACCUCAAACAUUUGGCUAGGCAAUAUAGCUUGGACUCUGCUUUGAUAAGGCAAACUUCAUUUCGAUUCAAGUAUACUAGUUAACAAAAAUAAAUACAUAGAAUUCGUAAAAUGUAUGUUAGAAGUGAAUAGCUAAUUUACAGAAAAUACGAAAAAAAAAAAAAAAAAAAAG